rnacentral:tRNA from 1 species
GUAAAAAUGCCAGAGUUGUUAUGGGUUUGAUUUAGGGUCAAGUUAUGGCUGUUUAAUGCCUUUUUACU